CUGAUAUAGUGCUUGUUGUGUAAAAAAUAACUGAACACAAAUUAAAUGGGUCUAAUUAUAUUGAAUGGAGCAAGACUAUCAAAAUUUAUCUGAGAAGUGUUGCUAAAGAUGACCACUUGACUAAGGAACCUCCUAAUGAUAACACUAGAAAACUUUGGAUGCAAGAUGAUGCACGGUUAUUUUUGCAGAUGAAAAACUCUAUUAAUAGUGAUAUUGUUGGUCUGCUGAGUCAUUGUGAAUUUGUUAAAGAGCUAAUGGAUUAUCUAGAUUUUCUUUACUCUGGAAAAGGAAAUGUAUCUCGGAUGUAUGAUGUAUGGAAUGCCUUCCAUUGUCCUGAGAAGGGAGCUAAAUCCCUCACUGCAUAUUUUAUGGACUUCAAGAAGGUAUAUGAGGAAUUGAAUGCACUUAUGCCUUUCAGUCCGAAUGUUAGAGUACAACAGGCUCAACGGGAACAGAUGGUUGUUAUGAGUUUCUUAUCCGGUCUCCCAUCUGAGUUUGAGACUGCAAAAUCUCAGAUUCUUUCUAGUUCUGACAUUGGUUCCCUUUAGGAAGUUUUCAGUACAGUUCUACGAACUGAGAAUGUCCCGUCUUCUCAGCACAACAAUGUUCUUGCUGCAAAAGGAGGAAAUGCAGAAAAUGCAAGGAGGGUGAAUAACAGGGGUGGAAACAGGGCAUUUGAAAAUCGUGGCAAUGAUUCAAGUACUAUUGUGUGUUUUUACUGCCAUGAGGUUGGCCAUACCAAGAAGAACUGCAAGAAAUUGCAGAAUCAAAAUCGGAGAAUUCAAACUGCCAAUGUUGCUACAUCUGAUAUUGCUACAUUUUCAGACUCCUCAGACAAGAUCGUCACAAUGACAGCAGAAGAGUUUGCUAAAUAUUCACAAUAUCAAGAAGCACUGAAAGCAUCUACUCCUGUUAGUGCUCUGGCAGAGUCAAGUAAAACAUGUCUUGUCUCCUCCUCAAACAAAUGGAUAAUUGAUUCAGGUGCCACAGAUCAUAUGAUAGGAUCUUAUGAUGAAACCGACAUUUGGUAAAGGACAUGUAUUUGAUGGGCUCUAUAUUCUUGAUGAGUGGGUACCUCGACCAGUUACGUGUGUCAGUAUUGCCUCUCCUAUUGAAGCUCAUUGUCGGUUAGGACAUCCUUCUCUACUGGUGUUGAAGAAAUUAUGUCCUCAGUUUGAUUAAUUUACCUUUAUUAGAUUGUGAGUCGUGUCAUUUUGCGAAGCAUCAUCGUAGUUCUUUAGGCCCAAGGAUUAAUAAACGGGCUGAGUCUUUGUUUGAGUUAGUA